GCAAAACAGGUAUCUUCCCAGAAAACGGGCUGGAUGGUUUGUGAGAAGAGGCAGGUCAGGGCUGGUGCGCCCAAGACCAUGGGUGACCCCUGCGAGGAGGGGCAUGUGGCCCCCAGGGGUGCAGCGGGCAGGGCCACAGAGCAAAGCCCCACACGCCUCCCUGCGCUACUGCCAUCGGGGCUGGGAAGGAUGCCACCGGAGGUCAGAGGUCAGGUUAGCAGGUCUACAUUCACAGAAAUCCUCGAGGGCUUGUUCGAUGUGGAUCCUGGGUCCACCCCACCACCACCCCCCCCUCCCCUGCCCGGCCUUGUGACCCUGCCUACCCUGGGGUGAAGCACGGGCGAGAGCCCUGCUGUGGCACUUUGGGCGGACUGCUCAGUGCACGGGGCCUGUCACCCUCGGGGGGACCCACAGCCCGUUGCCGUCAUGCACCCAGGGGAACUCUGCCCUGUGGCCCCGGGGUCGCCUAGCCCAACCUCCUCCAGAGGAGACGACCCCGUCCGUGGCCGACCGGCCCAGAGCCGAGGAGCAGCGCAGGUGGACUGAGGACCGUCCAGGGGACCGGGGGCUCCCAGGAGUCCGGCCUUCGCAGGUCUACCCAGCACCAGGGGAACCGUAAGCCCCGUCACUGUUAGGCCUGGGGCCCCAUCAGCUCAUGGCUGCCAGGUUUUCUAAAAUGUACAAAAUGAAGAAGAUCUUAACCCUAAGUGACUAGGACCCACGGACUCCCCAGUAAGGACUGGUUCCAUCGCCCCUCAUGGAAGGGCCGUGGACGGAGCCGGAACCUCUGGGCACCCCCGCUGGGACCCAGCCAGGGGGAAGCAGUCGGAGGUGUGUAGGUCAGGUUUGGUGUCUGUGGGGUUCAUGGGUAACUGUCUCCCUUGGGCAGGGACAGCAGGGGCCUUCAGGGUCUGGGGACAGCGGGCGCAGGCCUGUGGCCCCCCAACCCCUCCAGCCCCCUCCAACCCUCCCAGCCCCCCAGGCCCCAGUCCUCUCCUUCCCCGAUCACCCUCACAGGGACCCCAACCACCUCCGCAUGGGAAGGCAGCGGGCUCCUUCCACCAAGCUGACCCACUGGGGUCUCUCAAGAGCCUCUGGGAAACGUGGGUGGCAUCUUGGGGUCUCGGGCUUAUGCUCUUUGCCACAUCCUAGCAGUUCUGACUGGAUGCUUUUCUACGUCAUCAAAGGACUUUGCUCACAGCUAAUAGCACCGGGUUCCCAGACACGGGGUGCCACAGACUGCCCCCCCACGCGCUGA
rnacentral:lncRNA from 12 species